CCUACGGGCGGCAGCAGUGAGGAAUAUUGGUCAAUGGGCGCGAGCCUGAACCAGCCAAGUAGCGUGAAGGAUGACUGCCCUACGGGUUGUAAACUUCUUUUAUAAAGGAAUAAAGUGAGGCACGUGUGCCUUUUUGUAUGUACUUUAUGAAUACGGCUCGGCUAACUCCGUGCCAGCAGCCGCGGUAAUACGGAGGAGCCGAGCGUUAUCCGGAUUUAUUGGGUUGAAAGGGAGCGUAGAUGGGUUGGUAAGUCAGUUGUGAAAGUUUGCGGCUCAACCGUAAAAUUGCAAUUGAUACUGGCAGCCUUGAGUACAGUAGAGGUAGGCGGAAUUCGUGGUGUAGCGGUGAAAUGCUUAGAUAUCACGAAGAACUCCGAUUGCGAAGGCAGCUUACUAAACUGCCACUGACAUUGAUGCUCGAAAGUGUGGGUAUCAAACAGGAUUAGAUACCCGAGUAGUC
rnacentral:rRNA from 1 species